rnacentral:pre_miRNA from 2 species
CUGACAGAAGAGAGUGAGCAUAUGCAACCAAUUGUAUAGAUUGUAUACAUUUGUUGGGAUUCUGCAUGUGCUCACUUCUCUUCUGUCAG